GAUGAACGCUGGCGGCGUGCCUAAUACAUGCAAGUCGAGCGAAUGGAUUAAGAGCUUGCUCUUAUGAAGUUAGCGGCGGACGGGUGAGUAACACGUGGGUAACCUGCCCAUAAGACUGGGAUAACUCCGGGAAACCGGGGCUAAUACCGGAUAACAUUUUGAACCGCAUGGUUCGAAAUUGAAAGGCGGCUUCGGCUGUCACUUAUGGAUGGACCCGCGUCGCAUUAGCUGUUGGUGAGGUAACGGCUCACCAAGGCAACGAUGCGUAGCCGACCUGAGAGGGUGAUCGGCCACACUGGGACUGAGACACGGCCCAGACUCCUACGGGAGGCAGCAGUAGGGAAUCUUCCGCAAUGGACGAAAGUCUGACGGAGCAACGCCGCGUGAGUGAUGAAGGCUUUCGGGUCGUAAAACUCUGUUGUUAGGGAAGAACAAGUGCUAGUUGAAUAAGCUGGCACCUUGACGGUACCUAACCAGAAAGCCACGGCUAACUUCGUGCCAGCCGCCGCGGUAA
rnacentral:rRNA from 1 species